CACGGAUUGCCACGGAUUGCCAUGGAUUGCCAUGGAUUGCCAUACAUUGCCAUACAUUGCAUCAGACUUACCCAUUCGCCAACCCAAGUCUACUCUUAGAUGAUCUCUACCUGAUCCUGUGUUAUUAAGUGAUCUGCUUUCACAGCUACAUUUCUGUGUUCUUUUCCGUUGGUCUAUGGUUCUGAAUUGAGGCCGGUUUUUAUUUGCUUUUCAACAUCCCUUUCAAAGUGGUACAUGGGGCUUUGAUUAAUAUUACCAUAAAGACUGCCGAAAAUGGGUGUGGUACAAAAACCCAGAAAUGGCAUGAGUUCAACAUCAAACAUGGAUGAGAAUUUUGACGGGGAACAAGUCAAGUCUGGAAGUGUUACAGGAUGAAGAGUCUGCCUGUAGUUGAAAAAACACUGAGAGUGCAUUACCGUUAAGUACAACAGCAAUCCUUUAUAGUUCUGUCACAGCUAGAAGCCUCAAAUAAUUCUGCUUCUCUGGCUAUAGAACAACUUGUCCUUUCAAACAACGAAAAAAAAACAAUAAAUCACACGACUCAUUGUUCGGUAAGUUCCCCAUAACCAAAAGAUUUUGAUAAAAAUUGUGUAUAGCGUCGUAAGAGUCUCGGAAGGAGUAGGCGGUAAAAUGCGUGAUGUCAUGUAAUUCCGUAUUUUAAUUCCGUAUUUUGAAAAACGAAUGUUGAUGGCAUUAGUAAGUAGAUGUAUAAGUUAUUAUUAGAAACGUCACGUUGUUGUGAAUGAUCCAGUCGGCGAAACAUCGUACGAACUAAUGCACAUAUAGUUAAAUGAAUCUUUAAUGGAAGUCAGGAAGGUACACAGUGAGAUUUGCUUAACAAUUAUGUUUCUUUAAUUGAUUUUAAAAUUAGGAAAAGGUGGAAGGAAAAACUUCGUUCUCUAGUAGUGUUUUAGUUAAAAUCAUUUUUGUGCAAAUUCGUUUUUGAAAUUGUUUACUUCAUUUUCGAAUGGUUCCGUUCACAUUUGUUGUUCAUGUGAGAUGUUAUAUUUACCAGUUACUGCAUUAUAUUUACCACUAUUGCAAGAUGUUUGUUUAGGAAUUACUACUGUUUUGUUUAUCUGGAAUGUUGUGUGGGAGUCCAUCAGGAAUUGCUGGUCUGCAGUAAAUUUAUCAGGCUAGGUGAUGAACAUUAAUGAAUCAGAAAAUGUUUUGCAUGCGUGGUGAAUGUUCUGACAGUUUUAACAGUUGUGAUGUGGUGUAUUUUACUUCCACGCAUCAUGUAGAAGUUGGUGACCUGAUACAAUGAACAUGGAAAAAUCACCUGCGCCCACGUUGACGAUGAUACCUGUACCGAAGUGCUGGAAACUAAAAUUAAAUUUUCUUUACAAUUUGGUUUCAGGCUAUUUUUAUAAUUUUUUAAUAGUUUUGCAUUUAUUGAUGAGUCCGCAAGCUCCUAGCUGAUUUCCUCCUUUAGAUACCGCCCGUCGACGAUUUGGCAGCCUCACACAAUUAAAGAACGUAUGCCAAAAAGCCAAAGUGAGCUCUUCCGAGCAGAAAAAUGACGGCGUAUCCAUUUAAUUGAAAAUAGGCACAAGAUAACGCACAAUUGGCGUGCUUGUCUCAAUGGAGAAAUUUUUCCGUGGAACUUAUAACCGAAAUACCAUUGCAG